rnacentral:rRNA from 1 species
UACGGCGGGGGCUAGCGUUGUUCGGACUUACUGGGCGUAAAGCGCACGUAGGCGGAUUGUUAAGUCGGGGGUGAAAUCCCGGGGCUCAACCCCGGAACUGCCUUCGAUACUGGCGAUCUUGAGGUCGGGAGAGGUGAGUGGAAUGGCGAGUGUAGAGGUGAAAUUCGUAGAUAUUCGCCGGAACACCAGUGGCGAAGGCGGCUCACUGGCCCGAUACUGACGCUGAGGUGCGAAAGCGUGGGGAGCAAUCAGG